rnacentral:tRNA from 1 species
AGAGGUGUGGCGAAAUGGUAGCCGCGUUAGAUUUAGGAUCUAAUGGAUUAAUUUCUGUGCAAGUUCAAGUCUUGUCACCUCUA